UGUUCUCCAUGUCAUGCUGAACCAAGAAAGCAUCAAGCUGCAAAUCUGAUUUCUCAUACCCAGACACACCAUUAUUGUCCCUAAUUACCUUGCUCUUUGAUUUCUCGUGCAGAACAGGCUUGAAAUAGAAACUGAAGAAAAACCAGGCACCCCAAAUGCUAUCAAGCCGUUUUGUGCAUUUCUUUGCUGCUUUUGGGACAUUAACGAAUGUCUCAACCUCAUAAGUUUGAGGUGCAAGACCAACAUCUAAGAUGUCACAUGGUUCAUUCCAUGCCAGGGAAGGAGGUGGGCUUGGCUCAGAUGACAAUGGGAGAUUGAUAUCAGGGGGCCGUGAAAGAAUGACUGAUCGAUUCAUCUCUCUAUCCAAUUCAUCAUGUGUUAGAGAACCUGAAUCCAUGGACAAAAGCGUAGAUGGAUGAUAGUUCUCCAUUGACAAGGAUGUGAGGAGUGCUUCCCCCAUAUUUUUUUUCUGUUCCUCCUCUAUUAUUCUUCUUGCUUCUGGUUUGUGACUUGAAGCCCCACCACAGUUACUAGAAGCUCAUCAACAGCAUCAUGAAUCAAAUAGAAACCCACAAAAAUCAGAAAAGCCCCCAAUCAAUCAACAAAACCAAACAAGCAACUCAUAAGCCUCUUCAUUUUUAAAGGCUCAAAACUUCACCCCACAAUAAUCGACAAAUACUCAUUAGUGAAUCCAGAGAGCAGCAAAUGAUGGCAUCAAUAUCAUUGGUAUGUCACUGACCUGCCAAAAAAAAUUAACGGAAACAGAGAGAGAUCAACUAAACAAAUCAAAACAACGGGCUUGUAUUACACUUUACAGAUUAAUAAUUAUUCGUUACAAAACAAACCUAUCCAGAGUCAAAAAAAUAAAGAAAGCAACAUUCCAAUCUCUUCUGUUUAGAAAUUUGGAUUUCCCAAAAAGAUAAAAUUUUUACUCUGGGAAAAAGCCAAGUAAUUGAAUUAAAGCAAAACUCAAGUGAAAUCUUCAGGCAUCACAAGACUCCCAAAUGAUAAUAUGAAAUGAAAGCUGCCGAUUUUACAGAUCCCCAUAAGAUUAAACCCCCAGAAUUGAAAUUUUCCAAAUUGAUUUUUCCCACACUUUCUUAGUUACCCAACAGAGUAUAUACCGGAAAGAAACAAUGAGUUGGACAAUCCCAAGAAUCUGAUAAUAGUAGAAAAAGUACAGAUUGAAAGUAAUCAAAUCAGAGCCAAAAAUGGAACCCUAAAACCUAAAAAAGUAAAAAAUAUCAAAAUGAAUAAAAUCAAAGAGAUUCGACGCUUACCUAAAAGGAGAGGCUUCAAAUCCACCCAAAACAGAGGCUUGCACAUUCAUUCGAUCCUCCAUUUUGAGAGAUAGGAAGGCAGAGACAGAAACAAAGUAACGGAGGUUGUUAAAAAAGACG
rnacentral:misc_RNA from 1 species